rnacentral:rRNA from 1 species
UACAGAGGGGGCAAGCGUUGUUCGGAAUUACUGGGCGUAAAGGGCGCGUAGGCGGCCUGUUAAGUCGAACGUGAAAUCCCCGGGCUCAACCCGGGAACUGCGUCCGAUACUGGCAGGCUUGAAUCCGGGAGAGGGAUGCGGAAUUCCAGGUGUAGCGGUGAAAUGCGUAGAUAUCUGGAGGAACACCGGUGGCGAAGGCGGCAUCCUGGACCGUAACUGACGCUGAGACACGAAAGCGUGGGUAGCAAACAGG